rnacentral:lncRNA from 11 species
ACGAGAUCAGGUGUCACUACCGCAGGCUGGACUUUGAAUUAAUGAGGUGAUAAGGGUUGAUAUAAAUGAGACUCAAAGCGGCUCAUUCUCAUGGUGAUUCCCGCUCAGAAGAACUGAACUUACACAACAAACCUAUCCAAAGGAUGAUGAAAACGAGGAUGGCGCAGACCACGGCUGACAAAUACAGGAUAAAACCCGGCGUAAAUAACUCUUUCAUUUGAUACCGAAGAGCAUUGAGGAUUCCUUGAAGGACAAGAGGAAAGGAACAUCUGCUUUAAUCACCAAGAGCCAACGGACCAGAGAAGGCCUCAAGAGACACAGGCACCAUCUUGCCUUCUUUUGGCAAUAUUUGGGACCAGAAGCAUUCCAUAUUUCAGAUUUUUCAUAAAUAUUUCAAACACUUACUGUACAUACGCACAAUGCCAUAUCUUGGAAAUGGGACCCAAGUCUAAACCCAAAAUCCAUUCACCCACAUAUCCAUUCAGGCCUAAUCAUCCAGGCAAUAAAUAAGGAAGUGGGUUGCUGUGAGUUUUCUGGGCUGCCUGGCCAUGCUUAAGAAGCAUUCUCUUCUGACAUUUCACCCACAUCUCUGU